rnacentral:rRNA from 1 species
GGGGAUAACAGGCUGAUCAUUCCCAAGAGUCCAUAUCGACGGGAUGGUUUGGCACCUCGAUGUCGGCUCGUCGCAUCCUGGGGCUGGAGCAGGUCCCAAGGGUUCGGCUGUUCGCCGAUUAAAGCGGCACGCGAGCUGGGUUCAGAACGUCGUGAGACAGUUUGGUCUCUAUCCUCUGCGCUCGUUGGAAUUUUGAGGAGUCCUGCCCAUAGUACGAGAGGACCUGGGUGGACGAACCUCUGGUAUGCCAGUUGUCACGCCAGUGGCAUGGCUGGUUAGCUACGUUCGGAAGGGAUAACCGCUGAAAGCAUCUAAGCGGGAAGCCCUCUCCAAGAUGAGAAUUCCUGACACUCCUUGUGAGUGUGUGAGACUCCUUAUAGAUGAUGAGGUUGAUAGGCCAGGUGUGGAAGCAUGGUAACGUGUGGAGCUGACUGGUACUAAGAGUCGAAGGCAAUUAACAC